rnacentral:rRNA from 1 species
GUGGGGAAUAUUGCACAAUGGGCGAAAGCCUGAUGCAGCAACGCCGCGUGAGGGACGACGGCCUUCGGGUUGUAAACCUCUUUUAGUAGGGAAGAAGCGAAAGUGACGGUACCUGCAGAAAAAGCACCGGCUAACUACGUGCCAGCAGCCGCGGUAAUACGUAGGGUGCAAGCGUUAUCCGGAAUUAUUGGGCGUAAAGAGCUCGUAGGCGGUCUGUCGCGUCUGCUGUGAAAACUGGAGGCUCAACCUCCAGCCUGCAGUGGGUACGGGCAGACUAGAGUGCGGUAGGGGAGAUUGGAAUUCCUGGUGUAGCGGUGGAAUGCGCAGAUAUCAGGAGGAACACCGAUGGCGAAGGCAGAUCUCUGGGCCGCUACUGACGCUGAGGAGCGAAAGCAUGGGGAGCGAACAGGAUUAGAAACCCGUGUAGUCC